rnacentral:snRNA from 1 species
AACUUUGCACAGUUGCAGUAUCAUAGCCGAUGAGAUUUAUCUGAGGCAUGAUUACAGCUGAUGGAAAAAUGAAUAAUUAAG